rnacentral:rRNA from 1 species
ACUACGGGGGGCAGCAGUGGGGAAUAUUGGGCAAUGGGCGCAAGCCUGACCCAGCAACGCCGCGUGAAGGAAGAAGGCUUUCGGGUUGUAAACUUCUUUUCUCAGGGACGAAGCAAGUGACGGUACCUGAGGAAUAAGCCACGGCUAACUACGUGCCAGCAGUCGCGGUAAUACGUAGGUGGCAAGCGUUAUCCGGAUUUACUGGGGGUAAAGGGCGUGUAGGCGGGAAAGCAAGUCAGAUGUGAAAACCAUGGGCGCAACCUGUGGCCUGCAUUUGAAACUGUUUUUCUUGAGUACUGGAGAGGCAGACGGAAUUCCUAGUGUAGCGGUGAAAUGCGUAGAUAUUAGGAGGAACACCAGUGGCGAAGGCGGUCUGCUGGACAGCAACUGACGCUGAGGCGCGAAAGCGUGGGGAGCAAACAGGAUUAGAUACCCGGGUAGUC